AUGUCUACAAUUUUUUUUCUUGGGACCAAGUGUGUUUUUGCAACUUUCCUUCUCUCUGUUAAAACUAAAACUCUAUUUUUUCUUGCUGAGAGUUGGGUUGGCAAUAUAAACAUCAAGGGGGAGAUUGUGAGUCCAUGUGGUGAUACCCUUAAUUUUGUGAUGAUUAUAUUGCCAAUGCUUUUGCUCACUUUGAGAGUUAUUUUAAUGAAGUUUGAAAAUCACAGUUUGUCGGAUCAAGGACAUGAUCUAUUUUAUGUGACUUAUCUGGAUGGUGUUGAUUGUAUUAAACUGUUAAUUUGGAUUGACUUGGAUCAAGCUCAGGAAGUUUGUGCUCGCAAUAGUUGCUUGUUUCCAUUGUGUGCAGGUUCCAGUGAGUGCGGCGGUAGUCGACAACGAGGAUGGUUGGCAUGA
rnacentral:rRNA from 1 species